GUUAGAACGCUCGUAGUCGGAUUUCGGGGCGGGCCGACCGGUCUGCCGAUGGGUACGCACUGGUCGGCGCGUCCUUCCUUCCGGAGACCGUGCCUACUCUUAACUGAGCGGGGGCGGGAGACGGAACGUUUACUUUGAAAAAAUCAGAGUGUUUCAAGCAGGCAGCUCGCUCUUGCAUGGAUUAGCAUGGGAUAAUGAAAUAGGACUUUGGUGCUAUUUUGUUGGUUUCGAACACCGAAGUAAUGAUGAGAAGGGACAGUCAGGGGCACUCGUAUUCCGCCGAGAGAGGUGAAAUUCUCAGACCAGCGGAAGACGAACCACUGCGAAAGCAUUUGCCAGGGAUGUUUUCACUGAUCAAGAACGAAAGUUAGGGGAUCGAAGACGAUCAGAUACCGUCGUAGUCUUAACCAUAAACCAUGCCGACUAGGGAUUGGGGGAUGUUCACUGAUUGACUCCCUCAGCACCUUACGGGAAACUAAAGUCUUUGGGUUCCGGGGGGAGUAUGGUCGCAAGGCUGAAACUUAAAGGAAUUGACGGAAGGGCACCACCAGGUGUGGAGCCUGCGGCUUAAUUUGACUCAACACGGGGAAACUUACCAGGUCCAGACAUUGUGAGGAUUGACAGAUUGAGAGCUCUUUCUUGAUUCGAUGGGUGGUGGUGCAUGGCCGUUCUUAGUUGGUGGAGUGAUUUGUCUGGUUAAUUCCGUU
rnacentral:rRNA from 1 species